rnacentral:lncRNA from 1 species
GCCCUUCUUCUGCAGAAAGGGAGGAUUCUUGACAAGUUGAGCAAAGCAUCUUCAGAAGAAUUUUGGACAGAUUCCUGACUGUCAAGAUAACAUCAGGAAAGCUCUGGUGUCCAGGUCGCAGUCAGGCUGUUGCAGAGUGUCUGUUGGGAAGACCUGGAUAUGCAACUGGGCAGCCUGUUACAGACAAAGCUCUGACUGAAACAGGCAUCUGACUGCAGCAUGAAGCGUAAGCAGUUGAGAAAAGGUGAUAUUCUGCUCCAUUCAUCUCUGCUCUUGUGUUCAUCUUCUCCUACUCAUAUAGUACGGAAUCUCCCAAGUGAAGGAGGGAGUCUUCGCACACAUCAGGAGAGAACCAGCACUAUGUAA